rnacentral:rRNA from 1 species
AUUGAACGCUGGCGGCAUGCCUUACACAUGCAAGUCGAACGGCAGCACGGACUUCGGUCUGGUGGCGAGUGGCGAACGGGUGAGUAAUGUAUCGGAACGUACCUUUCAGUGGGGGAUAACGUAGCGAAAGUUACGCUAAUACCGCAUAUUCUGUGAGCAGGAAAGCAGGGGAUCGCAAGACCUUGCGCUGAUUGAGCGGCCGAUAUCAGAUUAGCUAGUUGGUGAGGUAAAGGCUCACCAAGGCGACGAUCUGUAGCGGGUCUGAGAGGAUGAUCCGCCACACUGGAACUGAGACACGGUCCAGACUCCUACGGGAGGCAGCAGUGGGGAAUUUUGGACAAUGGGCGCAAGCCUGAUCCAGCCAUGCCGCGUGAGUGAAGAAGGCCUCGGUUGUAAG